AAGCGGAGGAAAAGAAACCAACAGGGAUUGCCUCAGUAACGGCGAGUGAAGCGGCAAGAGCUCAAAUUUGAAAGCUGGCUCCUUCGGGGUCCGCAUUGUAAUUUGCAGAGGAUGCUUCGGGCAUGGCCCCCGUCUAAGUGCCCUGGAAGGGGCCGUCAUAGAGGGUGAGAAUCCCGUCUGGGACGGGGUGUCCGUGUCCGUGUGAAGCUCCUUCGACGAGUCGAGUUGUUUGGGAAUGCAGCUCUAAAUGGGUGGUAAAUUUCAUCUAAAGCUAAAUACUGGCCGGAGACCGAUAGCGCACAAGUAGAGUGAUCGAAAGAUGAAAAGCACUUUGAAAAGAGAGUUAAACAGCACGUGAAAUUGUUGAAAGGGAAGCGUUUGCGACCAGACUCGCCCGCGGGGUUCAACCGGCAUUCGUGCCGGUGUACUUCCCCGUGGGCGGGCCAGCGUCGGUUUGGGCGGCCGGUCAAAGGCCUCCGGAAUGUAUCGCCCUUCGGGGUUG
rnacentral:rRNA from 1 species